rnacentral:rRNA from 1 species
UACGUAGGUGGCAAGCGUUGUCCGGAUUUAUUGGGCGUAAAGGGAGCGCAGGCGGUGACUUAAGUCUGAUGUGAAAGCCCACGGCUCAACCGUGGAAGGUCAUUGGAAACUGGGUCACUUGAAUAUAGAAGAGGAAAGUGGAAUUCCAUGUGUAGCGGUGAAAUGCGUAGAUAUAUGGAGGAACACCAGUAGCGAAGGCGACUUUCUGGUCUAUUAUUGACGCUGAGGCUCGAAAGCAUGGGUAGCAAACAGGAUUAGAUA